UAGACGCUACGGACUU
rnacentral:tRNA from 10 species